rnacentral:ribozyme from 1 species
AAAUAAUAAAAAAGGAAAAAUAAUUUUUUUGCUAUUAUUAUUAUUUAUUUAUUAUUAUUACAGAGUAAAAAAAUAUACUCGAGAAUAUAGAUCUACUUCUUUCUUCUU